UACGAACUGUGCGAACGUUAUUCGGAAUCACUGGGCUUACAGGGUGCGUAGGCGGCUCAACAAGUCAGGUGUGAAAGCCCCCGGCUCAACCGGGGAACUGCGCUUGAAACUGUUAGGCUCGAGUCAGCUAGAGGUACACGGAACUUCCAGUGGAGCGGUGAAAUGUGUUGAUAUUGGAAGGAACACCGGAGGCGAAAGCGGUGUACUGGGGCUGGUCUGACGCUGAGGCACGAAAGCGUGGGGAGCGAACAGG
rnacentral:rRNA from 1 species